GACGGACGCUGGCGGCGUGCUUAACACAUGCAAGUCGAACGGAAAGGCCCUGCUUUUGUGGGGUGCUCGAGUGGCGAACGGGUGAGUAACACGUGAGUAACCUGCCCUUGACUUUGGGAUAACUUCAGGAAACUGGGGCUAAUACCGGAUAGGAGCUCCUGCUGCAUGGUGGGGGUUGGAAAGUUUCGGCGGUUGGGGAUGGACUCGCGGCUUAUCAGCUUGUUGGUGGGGUAGUGGCUUACCAAGGCUUUGACGGGUAGCCGGCCUGAGAGGGUGACCGGCCACAUUGGUCCUGAGAUACGGCCCAGUCUCCUACGGGAGGCAGCAGUGGGGAAUAUUGCACAAUGGGCGGAAGCCUGAUGCAGCAACGCCGCGUUCGGGAUGACGGCCUUCGGGUUAUAAACCGCUUUCGCCUGUGACGAAGCGUGAGUGACGGUAAUGGGUAAAGAAGCACCGGCUAACUACGUG
rnacentral:rRNA from 1 species